GAGUUUGAUCAUGGCUCAGGAUGAACGCUAGCGGCAGGCCUAACACAUGCAAGUCGAGGGGUAACAUAGAAAAGCUUGCUUUUUUGAUGACGACCGGCGCACGGGUGCGUAACGCGUAUACAAUCUGCCUUAUACUGGGGUAUAGCCUUUAGAAAUGAAGAUUANUCCCCCAUAGUCUCUAGCUAUGGCAUCAUAGCUAGAGUAAAGGUUACGGUAUAAGAUGAGUAUGCGUUCUAUUAGUUUGUUGGUGAGGUAACGGCUCACCAAGACUACGAUAGAUAGGGGCCCUGAGAGGGGGAUCCCCCACACUGGUACUGAGACACGGACCAGACUCCUACGGGAGGCAGCAGUGAGGAAUAUUGGACAAUGGAGGCAACUCUGAUCCAGCCAUGCCGCGUGCAGGAAGACUGCCCUAUGGGUUGUAAACUGCUUUUAUAUAGGAAGAAACCUUGGUACGUGUACCAAGCUGACGGUACUAUAAGAAUAAGGAUCGGCUAACUCCGUGCCAGCAGCCGCGGUAAUACGGAGGAUCCAAGCGUUAUCCGGAAUCAUUGGGUUUAAAGGGUCCGUAGGUGGAUAAUUAAGUCAGAGGUGAAAUCUUGCAGCUCAACUGUAAAAUUGCCUUUGAUACUGGUUAUCUUGAGUUAUUAUGAAGUAGUUAGAAUAUGUAGUGUAGCGGUGAAAUGCAUAGAUAUUACAUAGAAUACCAAUUGCGAAGGCAGAUUACUAAUAAUCAACUGACACUGAUGGACGAAAGCGUGGGUAGCGAACAG
rnacentral:rRNA from 1 species